CCUAAUUUUCCCUCUUUCUUUUUUCCUCACUCAGAGCCGCCUCACUCCCUCACCCACACACAGCCACAGCCCCUUUCUUUCCCUUCUCAUUUUUCAUUUCUAUCAUAAAAAUCAUAAAACCCCUAAAUAUCUCUUAUCAAUUCUUAGUUAUUUGUUUGUAUCAUAUGGAAUUUAUAGUGAUUUGCUGAAAUGAAAUACACAAUUUAUACGAUCUGGAAUUUAUUCGGAUGAAUUUAUUAUCUUUUAAGGUCUACAAAUUCAGAUGGGAAAAGCAAGAUGAAUACCUACGGAAAAGGAAAUUUCUUGUGUUCUUCGUUUAAUAAUUUAUUCAUUUAAUGUAAAUUAAUUAAUGUAAAUACAUGAUUAUUUGAAUGUUAACAUAUCUGUUGGUUGAGAUUUUUU